rnacentral:rRNA from 1 species
UAGGGAAUCUUCGGCAAUGGGGGGAACCCUGACCGAGCAACGCCGCGUGAGUGAAGAAGGUUUUCGGAUCGUAAAGCUCUGUUGUUAAGGAAGAACGAGUGUGAGAAUGGAAAGUUCAUGCUGUGACGGUACUUAACCAGAAAGGGACGGCUAACUACGUGCCAGCAGCCGCGGUAAUACGUAGGUGGCAAGCGUUAUCCGGAAUUAUUGGGCGUAAAGCGCGCGUAGGCGGUUUUUUAAGUCUGAUGUGAAAGCCCACGGCUCAACCGUGGAAGGUCAUUAGAAACUGGAAAACUUGAGUGCAGAAGAGGAAAGUGGAAUUCCAUGUGUAGCGGUGAAAUUCGCAGAGAUAUGGAGGAACACCAGUGGCGAAGGCGACUUUCUGGUCUGUAACUGACGCUGAUGUGCGAAAGCGUGGGGAUCAAACAGG